CGCGAGUAUUCAGAGUUUGAUCCUGGCUCAGGAUGAACGCUGGCUGUGUGCCUAAUACAUGCAUGUCGAGCGAAGUGAUUUAUCACUUAGCGGCGAAUGGGUGAGUAACACGUACUCAACGUACCCUUCAGUUUGGCAUAGCGGUUGGAAACAACCGAUAAUUCCAAAUACUCGUAGAUGCCGCAUGGCAUUUACGGAAAAGACGCCUUAAAGCGUCGCUGGAGGAGCGGGGUGCUCAACAUUAGCUAGUUGGUGAGGUAACGGCCCACCAAGGCGACGAUCCAUAGCCGGCCUGAGAGGGUGAACGGCCACAUUGGGACUGAGACACGGCCCAA
rnacentral:rRNA from 1 species